rnacentral:rRNA from 1 species
GUAAAAUACGGGCGAGCAGCCGGGGUAAUAGGUGGGGUGUGAAGGUGAAUGGUAAGUACUGGGCGUAAUGCGGGAGCAGGCGGUGAUGCAAGACCGAGGUGAAAUCCCCGGGCUUAACCUGGGAACUGCAUUGGUGACUGGAUCGCUAGAGUAUGGCAGAUGGGGGUAGAAUUCCACGUGUAGCAGUGAAAUGCGUAGAGAUGUGGAGGAAUACCGAUGGCGAAGGCAGCCCCCUGGGCCAAUACUGACGCUCAUGCACGAAAGCGUGGGGAGCAAACAGGAUUAGAUACCCCAGUAGUU